GCUACUACAGCAACGGUCCAAAGUAGGGACACUGAAGAAUAUGAUGAUGUUCUUCUGGUUUCAGAUGAGGUAUCUACUUCUUUUCCUCAGUGGAUUUUAGAUUCGACAUGUUCGUAUCAUAUUUUUGUAGAGAGGAGCUGUUUGACUCCCUAGAGAGCAGUGAGGGCACUGUUCAUUUAUCGGAUGGAUUGAGCUAUGCGAUCAAGGGCAUUGGGAUGUCAGCUUGCAGACAUAUGAUGGAGCAGUGAGAAAGUUGGGUGAGGUCUAAUACAUACUCAGGUUUAGGAGUAAUUUGAUUUCACUGAGUAGACUAGAUUUAAGCAACUAUAGAUGGAGAGCUGAUGAUAGAAUCUUGAAAGUUGUGCAUGACAGUGGGAUUGUUAUGAAGGGGA
rnacentral:lncRNA from 1 species